UUUAAAUACCAAAAAAAAAAAAAAACCAAAAAAAAAACCCGUGGCUACAAUCAGCUGCUGAGAGGAUCUCUUCGGUUUAGUUCCUGCCAAUUUCCCUCGGAGCUGGCACUGCAGGGGACUCCAGAGGCAUAGAGGAGAAGGAAGAGGUGAGGGAGGGUGGUUUGGGGAAGGGAGGAGAAAUGGACACAUGCCAUCGAUGGAGCGACAAGGCUCUUGCUGCCAGAGUGCCAGCAGGCAGCAUGGGGCCAAAAAAAAAAAACCCAACAAAACAAAACCCACAACAAAUAGCUGGCAACUCCUCCUGAAGCAGGCGGCGUCUGAGUUGGCAGAGGUGCCAUGGAGGACAAGGCUGCAGCAUGCAGGCGAACCCGGAGAGUGAGCAGGCAAGCCGGGGAGAGAUGUGGCGACACAUGCAAUGCAGGAUGACCUGGUGGCAUAGGACAGAAGAGGAGCUGGAGUUCAAAGGAAGCCUCAGAUGAAAAGUAAUGGAUCCUACAUAUAGCAGACACCAAGUACAGUGAUUCCGAGGUUCCCGAGAAGCAGCGCAAACCAGUCCUUAUUCUAAGGGUUAGAGGAGAGUCGUGUAAAGUCCUUGGCUAGACUGAGGGCAUAUGGCUAUUACAGUUCUUCCUGCCUCAGGCUUCUUCAGCAAGAUCUCACUUUUGGCUACGGAAUUUGGUUUAACACCUUUGGAGAUGCUGCUGACCUAAGGAAUUGCUGCUUCUGUCUCCCGACCUGCAUUGUUCCUCUAAAAUGUUCUCAGACCACCACUUACCAAUGGAGAAACAUUCAGCCUGGCUACAUGGAGCUCUGGCAAAAUGCAGUACCUCUCCCGAAGCUUCUACUCCUCUGGUGUCUGGAUUCUCCUGCUUCCUUUGGAAUAGAAUUAUGAGCUGCAUGGGCCUCCUGGGACUUGGCUCCCUGGGCCCUGUGUGUGCUUUUUUUCCAGGGGCUGGGUUCAGGCACAUCUGGCUGCUGUCAGGCUUUGAAAUCCUUGGCUCACAUUCCUGGGGCAGCUGGAAGCAAGGCUCAGGCUACAUGGUAGGGGAGGGGAGAGAUGAUAGGCACUGCCCCCCAGGGAUGAUCUCAGGGGAGAGGAGUUUUUGGCCAUUGCUGACAAUGCCCCCUGCCCCCCUUCACACAGUGGAAGCCAUCUCUAUUAUGGUCUGCAAUCUCUUUUGGGCUCUCGGGGCUGAGGCGGCAGCCAAGGAGGGGGCCAGCGCACAGGGGGUUAACCGCUGAUUACAGCCUUUGUCUCUGCAUCAGUGUACAUAAUGCGCUCUUCAUUUGCAUACUGCAGUGUGCGCUCAAUUAAAAUGAACUUUUAAUUUC